rnacentral:rRNA from 1 species
CUCGACGACCAUACCACGUUGAAAGCAUCGGUUCUCGUCCGAUCACCGAAGUCAGGCGACCUUGGGCCCGGUUAGUAUUUGCAUAGGUGACCGGCUGGGAAUAUCGGGUGAUGUUGGCU